AUGAAUGAGCUAGAUUUCUCAUUUGCAUAUUUAGUUGCCGUGACAACUGCAUGUAGAGAGAACAAGCAUCGGGGACGAGAGACUGUCCAUGUGUUUGAGGAGCGGAGACAUUGACCACAUGAGCACACUUUCAUCUUGUCCUAUGGGUCUCUAAAUAAGGAGUAAAACAGCAGACAUAUGAAGAAGAGCUGAGAGCGUCAGUUGUGCAUCAAACUUGAGAUCUCUUCACAGAACCACCCACAUUCAGGGAUAUCAAUGCUCUUCUCGCACAGACAUCUCCAAAGUCAUCAGAGGUAUUUGAAGAGAGGCUGGGUUCUGUACUUGAUCAGUGUAAGUGAAACGGUUACUGCAGCAGGUUUUGGGGGCAAAGUAGAAUGACGUGCCAUGUCCUUCCCACUCAAAAUGCCACUUUGUAAAAUUUAAGUCUUUCAAGACACUGGAGGUUUGGAGGAUAGUGACCUGAACUUGACACGGAGUCCUAGAAGGCGGUAGACUCUAAAAUACUGAGUUUGUAUACUAGUAAGGCAUUGUGUGGGUUCAUUGAUCAAAGAGGAGAGUGAGAAAUUGCUCAGAUCUUACUGGGUUUGAAAGAACUAGAGUAAACAAAGCUAGACUAAACGAUCAUUUUGUAAGAGACGUAACAGUAACAACAAAUACCAACAAAACUAAAGUUGUUUAUAUUUUUACAAAAGCUUUUCUUAAAGAUACCUUAAAUAUAAAGUAAGAAAAAGUACAAAGACAACAAAACCAAUUAAAUGCGGACACUUUAUCAACGAGAAAAUAACAGUUGUUGUUUGUGCACAGGCUAAAUCUUUUACAUACAGUCACUGUUGACAAGACAAAGUACGCUAAAACGCAAAGGUGGAACACCUAUAUAAAAUAAAUAGUUCAUUAACAAAUGGAAAUUGUCAUUUCCUCACCUUGUGUUAUUGAAACCUGUAUAGAAGUCAUCUAGCAAAAUGUGUGAGCUGCUCUUUUUCAUACAAUUAGAUAUUUUCAGUAAAAAGCCUUACAUUUCAGUCUGCCUCUUAACAAAGCUAUCAUAUGGCUUCAGAAGACUUGAAAUAUAGAGCACAGGUUGUAUGGUCUAUAUGGUGCUUUUUGUCCUCUGCUAGAGAACAGCGGAGAUAUUCUACUUAACUUCUCCUUUGGUGCUCCGCAAAUAAGGGCAAUUAAAUAACAGAUUUAUCAUUUAUAGGCCAACUAUCCCUUUAAAAAAAAAUCGUGGCAUUAGAUCAUGGGUAACAAAAUUUGAAAUGGUUGGCUGUAGUUCUGUCAUUUUAUUGAGCUUAUAUUUGUGUUGAUCACAAACCAGUUCUCUACUCUGGAUAAGGACCAUAAAAUAAACAAAGUAUUGUCCUCAUUACGUCUUGCAACAUUGACGACAGAUUAAAA